UACGUAGGGUGCGAGCGUUAAUCGGAAUUACUGGGCGUAAAGUGUGCGCAGGCGGCCGAGCAAGUCGAGUGUGAAAGCCCCGGGCUUAACUUGGGAAUUGCGCUCGAAACUACUUGGCUGGAGUGUGGCAGAGGAAGGUGGAAUUCCAGGUGUAGCGGUGAAAUGCGUAGAGAUCUGGAGGAACACCGAUGGCGAAGGCAGCCUUCUGGGCCAACACUGACGCUCAAACACGAAAGCUAGGGUGGCGAACGGG
rnacentral:rRNA from 1 species